rnacentral:rRNA from 1 species
UACGUAGGUGGCAAGCGUUGUCCGGAAUUAUUGGGCGUAAAGAGCUUGUAGGCGGUUUGUCGCGUCUGCCGUGAAAGUCCGGGGCUCAACUCCGGAUCUGCGGUGGGUACGGGGCAGACUAGAGUGAUGUAGGGGAGACUGGAAUUCCUGGUGUAGCGGUGAAAUGCGCAGAUAUCAGGAGGAACACCGAUGGCGAAGGCAGGUCUCUGGGCAUUAGCUGACGCUGAGGAGCGAAAGCAUGGGGGAGCGAACAGG